CCCUGCCAUAGGACAGGCUGAGGCAGAGUCUCAGUGUUGCCCUGUUCAGUCUGAGGCAAGUGGGAUUUAUUUUAUUCAUUCUAGGGGCUUUCACAGCUUUAUAGCUGUUGGAUAUUUAUGUCCCCAAACUUGCAGCAAGUUUGGUGAAGGCUCCUAUCUUUAAUUUAAUUUAGGAUUUUUAUAACCUUUUGAUGGGCUCUAUAUUAAUAUUCUGGUUUUUGUGCUUUCAAUUUACUGUUAGUAGUCAGAAAUCUUAAAACAGAACAAGACACUUGCUGUUCAGAUAUUCCUGUUUACUUAUUAAUUCCUCCAAUCACCUUUCCUCUGAAACGUGGUUUGGUGAUGCUGUCUUUUAACAAUGUGAUGACUUGUCUUUGAAAUGGUGUCAUGAAUUAAGAAGGGCCAAGGGUUCUGGUUGCCUGCAUUAAUAUUGUAAAGAAAAUGCCUGUGUUACAACUAGUUCUUCUCCAUUGACACAUGCCUCUAGUGUUGGAGUCAAUGAUACCUGCUUCACCUAAAUUUGUGAAACAAUUUUCAAUUGUUUAUCAUAAGUAAAUAUUAAUGUAGAGCCUACAGAGUGAGGUAAAUGCAGAUGUGAGUUUUGUAAGAUGGGAAAGUGGGAUAAAUGUUUAGUAGGAAACAUGACUUUUUUCCCCAUCAAGCCUGUCUUUAGAGGUAAACAAUUUGCAGUAUUUAUAUGCACUGGAACAUAAAACAAAUGUAGACAUUUGGGAACUUUCACUGUUCGAAUGUUUCAUUAGCAAACUUCCUGCUGAGUUCAUAUAAAAAUACUUAACAUGCAGCUUUAUUUUAAAGUGAUGAUGUAAAAUUCUGAAGAAUGUUGAUAAGGUUUACAUGCACGCUUAAGAAACUAUGUCUGCCAGCAGCAGCAGCAACUCUUGAAACAAAUAGAGUUAUCUGAGAAGAAUGCACAGGAUCUGCACAGGCACUCGGAUUUUCUGGGUGGUCCCUUCAGUUGCCCUCGCAGAGCCUCAAACUGCUUCUUAAACUCCACUUAGUUUUGAAAGGUUUGGCGAUUUGGCAUGAGAGCUCUUCCAAAAGGGGAAAUCUGAGAAAAGUACCAUGUGCAUACUAGGGGUGUUUUUCCCUUAAGAGUCCUCUCAGCCAGUCCUUUAACUACUUUUUCAGCCUCAAGCAUUGAUUACUUUUCUGUGGCACCUAAUAACACAAGCUGUAACUCAUACCGGCUGUAUUUUCAUUAAUGCAGUCUUAAAAUAUUUAGAACUGCCUGUGUCAUAAUACCUAGCACAGUUAAAUCCCUUUCACUUCUCUCUCACACACAGAACCCUAUGUGGGCUUCUAAUUUUCUCAAAGUUGUAAUUCUGACUAAUGUUUGGAAAGUUAAGUGUGAUUGCCUAAAACAUUAAUUGUAUUCAAAUCACUAUUUGGUGGAUUGUCACUGUGUUGGACACAUAACCCUUGACAAUUAACGGCGAAGAUGGACUCAGCACUGCAGGAUGAAACAAACCUGAAUAGCAUUACAUCUAUGCUCUUGAAAUAUAUGCGUAGUUCGUUCUGUCCCUUGAUCAAUAGCCAGCUUAUUGAAAUAUGCUGUGUUAGUGAAGAGACUUGAAAUAUGGAAAGGUGGUACUCAUGGCUUCUGUUACCUUUGAAUAUCCAUGAGAAAAUAGUCUAGAAUUCCUUUAUUAUCACCAUCUAAUAAAAUGGAUACAGAAAUGUGUGUUUUAAUCUAAAUGCAUGAUUUUAGACAGUCAUCACUUUACAUAGGAGAAAAUACAAAAAUUUUUAGCAUUGAACAAUUGAAUUGUCCAUGCUAGACCUAUGUUUUAUGACAUACAACUACUUUUUCUGGCCUAUGUUUUCAAAGUGUUUGUGGUUGUAAUGAGAAUUGAGAGAUGCUUUGUGUUGAAUGAAUGUCUGUGCCUAUUAUUUAUCAUUACAGUACAACACAGUUUCAUACCCACUUUUGCAAAGGUGUUCCAAAUAGGUUUUAUGGAUUUUCUUGCUACAUUUCUCUUUGACUUAUGAUUUCCUACAAUAAACAUUUUCCUCCAAUAGAAACAUUUCCUGGGCUUCAGCAGACUUCAGUAGUAGCAUCUCAGAUGCUACUUGGGAUGUUGAGUCUCAUUCAUUCUGGUUUCUGAAAUGAAAUGUACUGCUAACUUUUGAUUUAAAAAAGUAACUAUAGAAUUUAGAUUUAAUCACAAUCUUGAAAGAUACAUUGUGAGUGUAUUUUCCCACAUUUUAAAUUUCUUCUGCUCCCACAGAAUGUCAAAAUGCUACCCAAACUCAUGUUGAAAAAAGCGGUCUGGGAUUUUGUACACUAUUCAAAGAGAAACUGCCAUCGGUGCUCGUGUUGUAUUCCCUUCCCCUUCCUAAUUUUCCUUUUAAAAGCUCUAGUGUCAAAUUGGUUUUCAGUAAAGACGUUUUAGCAGCAGUUUGAGAGUUCUGUGCGGACAGCUCUAGAACGGAAAUACCUUCAAUAUGUUUGUAUGUACCCAGAAGCCAUGCACGCAUAUCUGGAUUGCAGUUUUUUAACCUUCAUAUUCUUAUACACCCUAACCUACUGAAGUUACAAAUAACAUUAGAGUCUUGUGUUAGUUGAUAGUGUUUGUAUUAAUUUGAAAUUGGGAAGAAAACUCUUCCACUGUGCUGGCUGCCUUGACUUCCCCUUCACUCCAGUCCAGGCUGCUACUAUUGGAAGAGCUUAAACUUUGUGUGAAGCUUAUUCAUUGUGCUCCCCCUGUGUGGAUCUGAGGAUACUAAAGAUAACUAGUAAUUAUAGACCAGUGUGCAUCAUAGGCAUAACUUCAGUUAGCUUUAGUAACAGCUAUUCAUCAAGCAACAGUCUGACUAAUGUAAAGUAGGAUUGAUUUUGGCCAUUCUAGCUAGAUUAAUAUAGUUUUGAUUUUAAUGGAAGCAAUAUGAUUGGCUUUAAAAUUGCAUGCACCUGUAUCUUUUGAUGGAUGUGUAUUGUCAUAUUAAAUUACACAAUCACUGCAUAGCUCUGUCUACAUUAGCCAUUGAACAGUGUGAUUUGUAAAGUUACUUAUAAAAUGUUUGAGUAAUAUUAAAGGGUUUCAGAAAUCUUGCUGGAUAACAUGCAGUUAUAAUGUCUGUGUCAGCUACAAAAUCUGUCCAAACAAAUUUAAAUGGAAUAAAGUAACUAUUACUAGAACAGAGGAAAAUAAAUCUUGCACCUCAUUUUACAUAAAUGCUUUCUGCUUCAUUUAGGUUUUUGAGACAUCUAAAGUUUUAGGCUUGUCCUAUUCUGAGGUUAAAGUGAAUUCUUAUGCUAGCUUCUGUUUUUUUCUGUUUGUUACCAUCUUACCUUUCAUUUCUUAUCCUGAGAUCAUUUAGGAGAUCCAUACUGAAAUGGAAAAUAAUGUUUAGCAUAUAAUCUCAGUUCACUUCUUUUUGACUUCUAAAAACUGAACAUUGUCCUCGAUUGGAAUGUUUCACUGCAGUGUUGCCACAUUGCUCUGGUAAUAGGCAUUUGUAGCAAAGUCUUCUGAUCAGUGACAGAAAUGGGUUGAGGAUAGUCUAGUGCGACCAUAGAUCAACAACAAAGUAGCUCCCUUCCUUAAUUAAAAAUAAAUACAAAGGCACUAAUACAUUUUCCCUGACCUUUUGGAAUCAUUGGUAUGUGCCUGGCAAACAUCACUUUCAAAAUGCCCCAUCUAUACACAUAAAGUUCAGUUUAAAAGUAACCAUUUAGCUCAGGUUUCAAAUAUAGCUAGUGCACCCUACUUUUAAUCAUCACUACUAAUUCAUCAAACAUUUUAGGGCUCGAUUAUAUUUGCUUUUUUCAUGUUGUAAGAAGUGAUGCAAGAAUACAAGUCUAAUUAAUUUUCACUGAGACUCUUGAAAGAGUUAACCUCAUUUUUGGGGUGACUUGCAUUGUAGCCCCAUAACAUUCAGGCUGGUUUAACAAGUAUAUUUCAGCACUUAAUGUCACAAAACGGUUUGGGGUUUUUCAAAUAAAUGCAAGAAUUGGAGUUUGGCUUUUGACAUUUAAAACUAAAUUAUGAAUUAAGAUCCUUUUUGGUUUAAUAUAAUUUGUGUUUUUGUUGACUAGCAGCAGAAUUUCAGCAUUUGAUACUUACUGGUAGAGAAGAAAAAAUCCCACAGCACUGCCAGUACAGCAGUCCUUACAAACACCCAUCGGCACAACUUUGUCAACUGAUGAGUACAUCUUUGCUAUGAUGGGUAUUAUCCUCUGAAACCCUUGAAUCUCAACACCUCAAAGCAUAGAUCAUUCUCUUAGGUAGUCUCUUCUCUCUUCAGCUGAUUCUGAGUAUCCUAUAUUCUUUGUCUGAUUUAUUUUUUAAGUAGAGGAUGUAUUUCUGUAGUGCUGCUGUUUUGCCUAAACUGGUGGUUUGUGCACAAAUGUUGUUGCAUCUUAUUAGAACUGCAUGUUUCUGUAUCUUUAUUUUUCUGCUGCUGUCUAGCCAACUUAAUUGUGUAACAUUUCUCAAAUGCUUAUAAAAAUCUGCUCUAAAAGUAGCACACUAAAGCUGUUCACAGUCAUUUAGGCAUUUUUAAGCAAAGAAAGUUGUGUAGUGGCUACAUCCUGGGAGUUCGAAAUAUGAACUGUCCCACCAACUCUAGGGAAAUAUUUUGCUUUCUUGAUUGCUCCAUCUAUUUGAGACUGCUGCUGCCUCUAUGCAAUUGCAAUCUCCAUCUUAAUGCUAUAUAUAUGCCAUAUUCAGACAGUACUGGCCGUUCAAUAAUUAUGAAAUCUCCUUAGAAUGAUCAAAAUCUCCACCUGAGCAGCUUUAGAAUGCUUCUUAAGACUGUCCUGUUCGAGCUGGUUUUGUGGGGUUAGGGUUAAAUAGGCAGAGGUGUGGUGUUCUAUAUUUUAUGUGGAUUUAAUUUUAUUCUGUUAAUUGGUUGUUUCAACGGUGCUAGAUCUGUUGCCUUAGAAUCUUUGGGUUGGGUAAGCUACAGCUGAAAAUAACUAUGUUACCUGCUGUCAUCAGUAUGAGAGAUGACUCUGUAUCAUACCUACAUACCUAAUGAAAAUGUUUCACAAAACUACACUGAGGCCAGAUCUACACCAAGCAGGAUAUAGCGCUAUGAAAGUGGCAUGAAAGCGGUAUAUAAAAGGCAGGAGCCACACCAAGCAGGAUAUAGCACUAUGAAAGCAGUAUAUGGUAUGUGUCAAUGGGCCCCAACAGUUGUCAGUGCACUUCAAUACCACUAUAAAGCAGUAGUGUGGCUUCUGCCUCUUAUAUACUUCUUUUGUAGUGCAAUAUCCUGCUUGGUGUAGAUCUGGCCUGAGUGAACUAUAGCUGAGCUUGUAAAUCUAGCUACACUUACUCCAUAGUAAAUAUUGAUGCAUAUACUAGAAGAACCCUCUCAUUAUAAAGAGCCUGUUCAGCCCAUUAAUAUACAAAGCACGGUGCCCUGAAAGUAUAUGGAAGUAUCCCCCAUUCUUGUUUUUCUCAUUUCCAUUUCUCUACUAGUCAAGAUAUUUUGUAAGCUUGACGAUAUUAAUAAUCUGUCACAAAACUGUAGACAAUUCGGCUUUUGCGGGUAGAGGUAAAACAAUGAGAGUUUUUCACCAUUAUUACUCAGUACCUUUUCACCCUUAUCACUCAGUAGUUAAUCCAGGCAUCAUGCUAAAAAAAAAAUUAGGCUGCCCAAAAGUAACUUUCCACCUGCAUGAGAAAAUAUGAACAUUAAAAAGCAGCCAUUCAUUUAGGAGAACCUUUCUUUUUAACACACACUAUCUUUCAUGAUAUAGUUGAAUAAAAAAAAAUCUUGCUAAGUAGGCAUUAUGACUAAUUUUGGGUCAAGUUCUUCCCAUAUUUGGUAACUUUUUAAUUUCUUUGGUUUUUGCUGAGGAAAGUUACAUUUGAAUGAGUCUGUGUAUUAUUCUGGUGAUGCAGUUGUCACCAGGAUCCCAAACUAAAUGGACACCUAAAAAUAUGGAUAUCCCCUAGUACGAAGUAGUACCCACACGUUCUGGUUAUUCCAGCGAAAUAAUUCUCUGGGUGGGGAAUACUGCUUCAUACAAGCUCAUAACUGCACCAUUAGGCACUUGUACACUUAGGAUCCUGUCAUGAACUUUGCCACCAGGAUUACAUUAAUAUCUGUUCCAAUUUCUGGAUAUAGAUUCCAUUUCAAUCAAGGGCAUUUCAGCACAGUUAUGCAUAUCUUAGUGCUGAUGGAAUUGAAAUGACUGGCUAUACUUUGAUUAACCAAACUUAAUUUAUUUGGUUAUGCAAAGUAAACUUGAAUUGUCUGGAAGAUCACACACUAUGUUGGAGCCUGUUGAUAUUGCAUUGCAUUUAUAUUUGUAAACAGCUCUACAUGGUAUAAAGCAGCUGGCUUUUGUCCUGCAUAUUUCUACAUAGCUGCUUUGCAGUGAGCUAAGUGACCCACUGAAGAAGUAUAUGGUCAGUUCGAGUACAGGAGACACUGUGAUCUUAUUCUGAUUAUAUGAAUGCAACUUAUGUAGUCCUGCAGACACCAGCAGUACCAGAAAGUGGGGGAACUCAUUUCAGAUGUGGCAAAUCGGUAAGUAUUUAGUUCUUCAAUGCUUCUUAUCAGUAAAAAAGUGUUUGUAGUUUCAUUCAUGUAGCAGUCUGCCAAUGAAAGUAACAUUAAAAAACGGAGAGCAGAGACAGACAACUUUUAAAAUAAAUUUUACAAUUAUAAUUCUUUUUUUUUUUCUGAAUAGCAUUCUCAAAUGUACACUUAAAUAAAGUUGUGUACCUUUCUUUCCCUCAUUAAAUUUUUGAUCGUAGUAAA